rnacentral:pre_miRNA from 1 species
AGUGGGAUAGCUGGGCCAAAUGGUGGCCCCAUCCCAAUUUUCUGAGGAAUCUCCAUACUGUUUCCUAUAGUGGUUACACCGAUUUGCAGUCUCACCAGCAAU